AGAUGUCUGGAUUUUAGACAUUCGACGCUGCAACUUACUCCAAAUCUUCUCAAAUUUUAACCAUAGCUUCCACAUGCGAUAACACGACGCCCCGUCAAGUUUCACGAUUUUCGGACUUCCUUUGGAUUUUAUAUAAUUUUAAUACACUUUUCGUGCAUGUAACUCGAUGUGUUACCUCAGCGAGCGGGUCGAGAUUUCGUGUGAGGUCCUAGAUACAGACUCAGAAUAUACAUAAUACCAUGAAUAUCAUUUUUUGAAACACUGCGUUGCGAUAUUUCAUGUACGUGUAGUUCAAAUUUGAGUUAUCCGAAAAAACACAAAGAAACAAAUUAAAUCAGUCAAAUAUAGCAAAAAAACUCAAACUUCUCCCAAACUUUAAAAUAGGGUUUGAAACAGUGUCAAGAAGCCUCACAAAAAAACUCAAAUCGAAAAACAAAAAAAAAUAUUCUUCUUUGCCGAGAGCUAGAAAGAACACUCGGCAAAGAAGGAUUUGCCGAGGGCCUUUCAAGCUGGCGCUCGGCAAAGAACCAUCC
rnacentral:lncRNA from 1 species